rnacentral:rRNA from 1 species
AUGCACGCUGGCGGCGUGCCUCAUACCUGCAAGUCGAGCGCACAGAUGAGGAGCUUGCUCCUCUGACGUUAGCGGCGGACGGGUGAGUAACACGUGGAUAACCUACCUAUAAGACUGGGAUAACUUCGGGAAACCGGAGCUAAUACCGGAUAAUAUAUUGAACCGCAUGGUUCAAUAGUGAAAGACGGUUUUGCUGUCACUUAUAGAUGGAUCCGCGCCGCAUUAGCUAGUUGGUAAGGUAACGGCUUACCAAGGCAACGAUGCGUAGCCGACCUGAGAGGGUGAUCGGCCACACUGGAACUGAGACACGGUCCAGACUCCUACGGGAGGCAGCAGUAGGGAAUCUUCCGCAAUGGGCGAAAGCCUGACGGAGCAACGCCGCGUGAGUGAUGAAGGUCUUCGGAUCGUAAAACUCUGUUAUUAGGGAAGAACAAAUGUGUAAGUAACUAUGCACGUCUUGACGGUACCUAAUCAGAAAGCCACGGCUAACUACGUG